rnacentral:rRNA from 1 species
CCUACGGGAGGCAGCAGUGGGGAAUAUUGCACAAUGGGGGAAACCCUGAUGCAGCGACGCCGCGUGAGCGAUGAAGUAUUUCGGUAUGUAAAGCUCUAUCAGCAGGGAAGAAGAUGACGGUACCUGACUAAGAAGCCCCGGCUAACUACGUGCCAGCAGCCGCGGUGAUACGUAGGGGGCAAGCGUUAUUCGGAUUUAAUGGGUUGAAAGGGAGCGUAGACGGCGAUGCAAGCCAGGUGUGAAAGCCCGGGGCUCAACCCCGGGACUGCAGUUGGAACUGUGUGGCUGGAGUGUCGGAGAGGCAGGCGGAAUGCCUAGUGUAGCGGUGAAAUGCGUAGAUAUUAGGAGGAACACCAGUGGCGAAGGCGGCCUGCUGGACGAUGACUGACGUUGAGGCUCGAAAGCGUGGGGAGCAAACAGGAUUAGAUACCCCAGUAGUC